GGGGGCGAAACGGUUUCGACGGGGAUGACGAGGUUCGAGCUGCGCGUCGUGGCGCCCGUGGCCACGUAAAAACGGGCACAAACUGCAACUGCGAACGACAACGCUGUUGCCCUCGCUGCGUAGCUAAUCGCGGCGACGGCGCUCGCCGGCUUCCGCCUGUAGCCGGCGAAGCGCCGCCGACAAUCAGGCUAGCCCGACGGCAGAGUCAACCGGCCCAAGGGCGAAACGCAGGGUUGACUAGCCCUGGCCGACGGCGGCCGACGGCCAGCGACCAGGGCGAAUCCUUCAACGGUCGGCUACACGCGUAGACGCUCGUUCGGACUCAUCUUCGGACCCGGGUUCGACUCCCGGCGCCUCCACUA
rnacentral:tmRNA from 1 species